rnacentral:lncRNA from 1 species
CAGAGAUUGGACACCUCCAGUUGGCUGUCAACUUUGCAUUAAAUGCAUUGCCUUUGAUGGAAAGAAAUACACUGAAUGCAUAAAUUGCAUGGGAACAUGAGGGUGGUUGCACUGAUAAUGAGAGCAUAUAAAGAGAAAAGCAAUAGAGACAAAUUGUACUGACACCCAGGCCAGCCAGGCCAAGCAGCAGUUUAGUGCUUUAAGAAGUCCCCGAAAAAUCUAUUCCCACCUUGUUGGCUCAUACACAAAAUUCUACUCACUCUAUUUGAUUCUUUCACUUAAAGUGAUGGUGGCUCUAGAACCAUAAUCUUUCACAUAGCCACAGAAUUCUGCAGCCACAAAGCGCUUUCGUAACAUAGUCUGCCUUGAUCCACAGCAAUGUCCUGAACAGUAGACAGAGUAGAGAUUAGUAUUCCCAUUAUGUAAGUUCAAACUGAAACUUAGGAAGAUAAAGAGACUUGCCCAAAUUCACUUAAGCCAAGGUGGGUGAGCUGGGCCUGGAAGAUGAACCUCCUGACUCAUGGCCUCUGCCCUCUAUCAAAAGAUGACCCCAGACAGUCAUGGCGAUGUGACACUCCUUUCAUGGAGGGAAAAAGUAAAAGCGUGUAUCAGCUAACUUGAGGAUGUCUUUGGCCAAGGGCUGGCCCUAUAAACAAGAGCGAAAAGAAGGAACAAACAUUGUUGCGGGCAGAGCCAAACUAAUGGGUGAUCUGACAGGACAGACGGUUUUGCCACCAUCACUAGAAAUUUAAGGAGGUGGUGAAAAUUCUGCUCACCAGAAGGCCUCAGGGAGAACCCUCCAGAUGGUUGCAAGAACUGCCUUCUAAGGAGUUAACAAGAGCCUUGUGCAUUCCUCUAUGGGACAUGCCAACAGAAAUGGUGCUACUAUUUCCCUAAUGGCAUGGACUCUGUCCUCUGUGUAAUGAUGAAAAACACGUAAAGAACAUCGAUCAGAAGAGUGUCAGAUUACUUGGCUUCUGGGGCACCAAGAGAUCACCAUCAGGCACAAAUGACUUUCUAUAAGGCGGCUCUGUCUGAUGGCAUUACAUAUGCUCUCUCUUUUAAUGCUGCUAUAAAUGGUCUAAGAGGCAUCAUGAUCUUUGUUUUCACUUGUGACACUCAGAGAGGUUAGACAACUUGCCCAGCGUCACAGAACUGCCAGUUGGAGGAACCAGGUUUGCAUUUCAGAGUUGUCUGGCUCCAAAGUUCCCCUUUGCCCCAGACUGGCAGAAAGAUAAAUGCUGAAUCUUCAUUAAGAACCCAGAAUAGUGACCUUUUUAAACUAGCUCCUGGGUCGUUUUUCAGAGAUGUGGAUUUACAGUAAAAAUCAAUUACUCGCCAUCCUCUCUUUUCUCCUAUACCCACUAAGGGAAAGGUGCGGCAGGGCCAGUUGGCAAAUGUUUUCCACACGUAUGGCCUCAUUCUAGCCUCAUAAUAACCCUAUGAGGGGCACAAGGCAGGCACUAGUACCCUCAUUUUACAGAUGAGGAAACAGAGGCCCAAAGGGAGUUAAUGGGUUGCUCAAGGCCAACCCAGGACUUUUAACUACAGCCCCAGAAAUCUUCCUCCUCCACUAUCUCGCCAAGCCUAGCACAUGUUCAGCACUCAAUAAACUAAUGAAUUAAUAACGGAUGAUUCAAUUCAAGAACUGUAUCUCAGAAGGAUCGUGCUUUCAAAUUCCCUAUAUGCAGCUCUGCCUGUCUCCUUGCAACAGAAAACCAAGGUUCAUUAAAUGGUCAAAUCUGCAGAAGCUCCUCGUCCUGUGGGCCCCCUGAGACAGGUGUCAGAAGCUCCAUUUCCUUUCAACCUGGCAUUCUCCGCCCCCACAGAGCGCCAGCAGCCCGCCUGCAGUGCAGCGCAGCAGGACCAAUGGUGACAAGAAGCAUGUGUGGAAUUCAAGUCAGGAGACUGCAGCAGACCAGACUCGCUUCCCCAACACGGCAGAAAUGACCGUCCUGCUGUUCUAAUCUUAUUAUGAAGGUGCAGCCCUGCCUGUGCCAGGGAAGGAAAGGUGAAGAGAAAUCGCGGCUGCCCAAGAUUCUUCGGAUUAUCGUUUGCUACCUGUUGAGUUAAUCAUGGGCAGUUUCACAGAAUCCUGGACUCUCACAAUUAAGACAGCUAGAGGGCUGGGAGGCAUGGUCACUAACACACGCCUCUCACUUGCAUACUUUCAGGAACAUGGAUACUCACCACCUCCAGGUAGCACUUAGUCUGUC